rnacentral:snoRNA from 1 species
AUCCCAUGGUGUGGACAUUGCCUUCGAAGCUCCUUAAAUCUCUCCCAAUAUUCAGUUAAGGACUCACUUGCCAACUAUUUGAAGUUUUGAAUUGCUCUUCUCAUCCU